AUUGAACGCUGGCGGCAUGCCUUACACAUGCAAGUCGAACGGCAGCACGGGAGCAAUCCUGGUGGCGAGUGGCGAACGGGUGAGUAAUAUAUCGGAACGUGCCCGGUCGUGGGGGAUAACGUAGCGAAAGCUACGCUAAUACCGCAUACGAUCUACGGAUGAAAGCGGGGGAUCGCAAGACCUCGCGCGAUUGGAGCGGCCGAUAUCAGAUUAGGUAGUUGGUGAGGUAAAGGCUCACCAAGCCGACGAUCUGUAGCUGGUCUGAGAGGACGACCAGCCACACUGGGACUGAGACACGGCCCAGACUCCUACGGGAGGCAGCAGUGGGGGAAUUUUGGACAAUGGGCGCGAAGCCUGAUCCAGCAAUAGCCGCGUGCAGGAUGAAGGCCUUCGG
rnacentral:rRNA from 1 species